UACGUAGGGACCAAGCGUUGUUCGGAUUUACUGGGCGUAAAGGGCGCGUAGGCGGCAAUUCAAGUCAUCUGUGAAAUCUCCGGGCUUAACUCGGAACGGUCAGAUGAUACUGCUUCGCUAGAGUACAGAAGGGGCAAUCGGAAUUCUUGGUGUAGCGGUGAAAUGCGUAGAUAUCAAGAGGAACACCUGAGGUGAAGACGGGUUGCUGGGCUGAUACUGACGCUGAGGCGCGAAAGCUAGGGUAGCAAACGGG
rnacentral:rRNA from 1 species